rnacentral:rRNA from 1 species
GCCCUUUUCCGGUUGAUCCUGCCGGAGGCCAUUGCUAUCGGAGUCCGAUUUAGCCAUGCUAGUCGCACGGGUUAGACCCGUGGCGGAAAGCUCAGUAACACGUGGCCAAACUACCCUGUGGACGAGGACAACCUCGGGAAACUGAGGCUAAUCCUCGAUACGGCUUCCCACCUGGAGUGGGGGAAGCCGGAAAUGCCCCGGCGCCACAGGAUGUGGCUGCGGCCGAUUAGGUAGACGGUGGGGUAACGGCCCACCGUGCCAGUAAUCGGUACGGGUGAUGAGAGUCAGCGCCCGGAGACGGUAUCUGAGACAAGAUACCGGGCCCUACGGGGCGCAGCAGGCGCGCAACCUUUACACUGCACGCGAGUGCGAUAGUGGGACUCCGAGUGCGAGGGCAUAUAGUCCUCGCUUUUCUGGACCGUAAGGAGGUUCAAGAAUAAGGGCUGGGCAAGACCGGUGCCAGCCGCCGCGGUAAUACCGGCAGCCCGAGUGAUGGCCGCGAUUAUUGGGCCUAAAGCGUUCGUAGCCUGCCGGACAAGUCCGUUGGGAAAUCCACGCGCUCAACGCGUGGGCGUCCAGCGGAAACUGUCCGGCUUGGGGCCGGAAGACUCGAGGGGUACGUCCGGGGUAGGAGUGAAAUCCCGUAAUCCUGGACGGACCGCCGGUAGCGAAAGCGCCUCGAGAGGACGGACCCGACGGUGAGGAACGAAAGCCAGGGUCUCGAACCGGAUUAGAUACCCGGGUAGUCCUGGCCGUAAACGAUGCUCGCUA